GACGAACGCUGGCGGCGUGCUUAACACAUGCAAGUCGAACGGAAAGGCCCUGCUUUUGUGGGGCGCUCGAGUGGCGAACGGGUGAGUAACACGUGAGUAACAUGCCCCUGACUUUGGGAUAACAUCAGGAAACUGGGGCUAAUACCGGAUAGGAGCUCCUGCUGCACGGGGGGGGUUGGAAAGUUUCGGCGGUUUGGGAUGGACUCGCGGCUUAUGGGCUUGUUGGUGGGGUAGUGGCUUACCACGCCUUUGACGGGUAGCCGGCCUUAGAGCGUGGCCGGCCACCUUGCGCCUGCGAUACGGCCCAGACUCCUACGGUCGGCAGCAGUGGGGAAUAUUGCACAAUGGGCGGAAGCCUGAUGCAGCAACGCCGCGUGCGUGAUGACGGCCUUCGAGUUGUAAACCACUUUCGCCUGUGCCGAAGCGUGAUUGACGGUACUGGGUCAAGAAGCCCCGGCUAACUACGUG
rnacentral:rRNA from 1 species